rnacentral:snoRNA from 1 species
ACGACCUUACUUGAACAGGAUCUGUUCUAUAGGUUGUACAAUUGUAUCCUUGAGUUCUAAGGAGACAAGAACCUAAGUCUGGUGGAUGAGUUCUUGCCUUGUGACUAGAGCGUGAGUAAUGGCUUAAAGACCCAUGGUCUGGCGGCUGUAGAGGAUCGUUCUUGGCAGGUAUGUCUUGCUGGGUUGGUUGCAUGGUGGUCUGACGGACU